UCUGGUUGAUCUCGCCGGAGACUACCGCUAUCAGGGUUCGACUAAGACAUGCGAGGCGCAAGGGAUUCGUUCUCUUGCCGAACUGCUCAGUAACACGUAGUUAACCUAACCUUAGGUGGUGAAUAAUCCCGGGAAACUGGGCAUAAUACACCAUAGAUGAUAAUGGCUGGAAGGCCUCUUCAUUCAAAGCUUUUGCGCCUAAGGAUGGAACUGCGGUGGAUUAGCUUGUUGUUGGGGUAACUGCCCAACAAGGCAAUAAUCCAUACGGGUCAUGAGAGUGAUAGCCCGGAGAUGCAUUCUGAGACAUUAAUGCAGGCCCUACGGGGCGCAGCAGUUACGAAACCUCUACAAUGGGUGAAAGCCUGAUAGGGGAACCCUGAGUGGAUUCACUUUUUGUGAAUUCUUUUGUCAAGUCCAAAUAGCUUGGCGAAUAAGUGGUGGUAAGACGGUUGCCAGCCGCCGCGGUAAUAACCGCGCCACAAGUGGUAGUCACGUUUAUUGGGCCUAAAGCAUCCGUAGCCGGUCCGGUGUGUCUUUGGUGAAAUCGGUUAGUAAACUAAUCGGCUUGCUAGAGAUACUACCGGACUUGGAGCCGGGAGAGGUCGAGGGUACUUUAUGGGUAAGGGUAAAAUCUUCUGAUCCAUAAAGGACCACCUGUGGCGAAGGCGCUCGACUGGAACGGACUCGACGGUGAGGGAUGAAAGCUUGGGGAGCGACCGGGAUUAGAUACCCCGUUAGUCCAAGCUGUAAACGAUGCCCGUUUGGUGUCACGAGACCUUCGGGGUUUCGUGGUGCCGUAGCGAAGGUGUUAAACGGGCCGCCUGGGGAGUACGAUCGCAAGGUUGAAACUUAAGGGAAUUGGCGGGGGAGCACUACAAGAGGUGGGGGCUGCGGUUCAAUUGGAUUCAACGCCAGGAACCUCACCGGAGAAGACAGUAGAAUGAUGGUCAGCCUGAUGGGCUUACCUGACAAACUGAGAAGAGGUGCAUGGCCGUCGUCAGUUCGUGCCGUGAGGUGUCUUGUUAAGUCAAGAAACGAACGAGACCCACACUGUUAGUUGCUAAUUUUCUUUCCGAAGAAAAUGCACUCUAACAGGACUGCCCGUGCUAAAUGGGAGGAAGGUGUGGGCUACGGCAGGUCUGUAUGCCCUGAAUUCUCUCGGGUUACACGCGGCCUACAAUGCGUGGGACAAUGGGAUGCAAUGCCGUAAGGCAAAGCAAAUCUCCUAAACCCGCGCUUAGUUCGGAUCGUGGAUUGUAACUCAUCCUCGUGAAGCCGGAAUCUCUAGUAAGCGAAGGUCAUCAUCUUUCGCUGAAUACGUCCCUGCUCCUUGCACACACCGCCCGUCAAGCCAAUCGAGUGAAGUCUUGGUGAGGCCCAAAAGUGGAAAAAUGUCGUAAGAUAUUUUACCGUCUUUGGUUCGAAUCACGUCUUUGCAAGAUGGGCUAAGUCGUAACAAGGUAGCCCUACCGGAAGGUGGGGCUG
rnacentral:rRNA from 1 species